rnacentral:tRNA from 1 species
GGGCCUGUAGCUCAUUAGGAUAGAGCAGCGGUUUUCUAAACCGCGGGUAGUGGGUUCGACUCCCGCCAGGCCCGCCA